AUGCAGAGCCUCUGGUUCUUCCUCUGCCUGCUGGUGGCUCCCCUGGAUGAGUGUGUCCUGUCUGAUCUGACCCUGCAGGAAUCAGGUCCAGGGCUGGUGAGGCCUUCAGAGACAUUGUCCCUCACAUGCACUGUCUCUGGAUAUUCCAUCGCAAGUGGUUACUGCUGGCACUGGAUCCGCCAGCUCCCAGGAAAAAGACUCCCUCCAGUGGUUGUCAACGAUAUGCUCUGGUGGAAACACAUAUUAUGAUCCCUCCCUGAAGAGUCGACUUACCACCACCAGAGACACAUCCUCAAAUAAGUUCUUCCUGCAACUGAGAUCUGUCACCAGCGAGGACACGUCUAUGUAUUUCUGUGCAAAAGACACAGUGAGAGGAAGUCAGUGA